rnacentral:rRNA from 1 species
UACGUAGGGUGCAGGCGUUAAUCGGAAUUACUGGGCGUAAAGCGUGCGAAGGCGGUUUCUUAAGUCAGAUGUGAAAGCCCCGGGCUUAACCUGGGAACUGCGUUUGAAACUGGGAGACUUGAGUGUGGCAGAGGGGGGUGGAAUUCCACGUGUAGCAGUGAAAUGCGUAGAUAUGUGGAGGAACACCGAUGGCGAAGGCAGCCCCCUGGGUUAACACUGACGCUCAUGCACGAAAGCGUGGGGAGCAAACAGG